GUUGAGUUGGCAUUGUACAGAAAUUAACAGCCAUAUUGGUCUAGAAAUGUUGAACUUAAUUUUUUUCCAUUUGUACAGGGGUAACACAAUGUAUUAAAUAUGUAAAGUCUUAUCUACGUGGGUUUGAUUACAAAAACUAAUAAAGUAUUCUCUAAAUAAAAAAAUAAAAUGGGAAGAAUGAAACCACCUAAGUUACUUGCUAAUGAGUGCCUGUCUACUAUUGUCAUAAAGAUAAAAUUUAAAAAAAAAUUCCCCCAAGCACUUGCUCCUCUUCUAAAGAGUUUGUAGGUCAAUGUCUUUGCAAGUGCUCUAGGAUAAGCAUAGGGAUUCCCUGGAGUAUAUGGACAACAGGCACAUAUUUUCUGUGGUUCUCCAUAUAAGGAGGCAAUUCCAAUUAGUUCCAAACAACAGCAUUCUGGAAAAAUCAAUCUUACUUGACACUACAAAAUCUAUUUAGCAUCAGAUUGUUCCUGUGGAUGUAGGGGUUCUACUGAAUAAGGGCUCUGCUUCAGAGUGUGGCCAUCUGGGUUUGUCUCCACCAUUUUAAAGCCCAAACUGUAGAAUCAUUAGCUACCUGAGGGAUUGACUCUUAACAUCAUUACUGCACAAAAGUCAAACCAAACAAUAUGGAGAUACAUAAGGCCCCUGAAACAUAACCAAUCAACCCAAAUCCAAAGACAAUUUUAUUGUUUUACUCUGUUCAAAAUAGGACUGAAUAAAACUUGAAUGAGUGAUCCAAACCAGAACAUAAGCCAUUCACAAACCUAUUUAUUGUCUUUCUAGUGAGUUAUUAUGUUCAAGGCACUACUGUUCUAGAGGCUGGAAAUAGAGCAAUGAACCAGGCAAGGUCCUUGUUUACAUCAAGUUCACAUUCUAGGACGAAGACAGGUAUGUGAACAUAUAGCCACAAGAAAAGUGGUCAGGUUUUGAUAAUGAAACUAGGUAGGUAUCAUAGGUCAGAAUUUAUCCAAGCCUCUGUGUAUAUCUUAAAUUCAUUUGGUUGGCAAUAUGCUGGUGUACAGACAGGUUAGACAUUUUACCAAAGUCCCACAGUAAGUUAAUGACACAUGGGUACACAACACCAGUCAAUCUAUCUCAGGCUUUUCAACCAAACUUGCCAUAAUGUGUGUAUAAUGAAAAUGGCAUCAAGUAGGAAUUUAGAUGUGACAGCAACUAGCAAAUCUAUAGAUUGUUAGUUCAUUGUUUUUCAAAUAUUCAUCAAAGAUAUUCAUAGAAUAUUACUAGAGUUGGAAAAUGUCUGGUUAUCAGAUAUCUGCAUUCAGUGGAUGAGGGCAUUGACAUGCAGAGAGGAGAGGCUGCCCUGAUUGAAUCAUUGGUUAUUGGUAACUCUGAGCAGGGAACUGUAUCAGAUCACCUUUCAGAAGAUACUGUGUCUUGUGAGCUGAAAGCAAGGGUUGAAACAAAAGAAAGACAAUGUGGUUCAGCCAUCAUAUGAUGUUGCCUGUGAUCACUGUGCACAUUUAUCCAGCCUUCACACGUUUUAUAACUAUGUUGCAUGUUAGUGCUUAGGGCUUUUGUAUGUUAUCUCCUGCCUACUGUACCUAUCAUUCUUACCUGUCAUUAUGGAAGUGCAGCUAAAAGGGACCAGGUAAUAGAAAGCAGCCCUCUGAACCAUUCCAUGUUAAAUGUCAGUUUGCAAUGUGGUUGUUAUGGGAUUCCUGCCUGGGUCCCGUCACCACUUCAGCCCCCAAAAUAACACACAGAGACACUAUUAGUUACAAUACUGUUGGCCAAUGUCUAGGGCUUCUUAUUGGCUAACUCUGUCUUAAGUAUUAACCCAUAUCUACUAAUAUAUGUAUUUCUGUAAGGUCUUAUCUUACCGAGAAUGCCAGACUCAUGUGUCCUUUCCUCCUGGGAUUCUGGGAUACAUUUCCCAGAAUCCUCCUUAUCUCCUAGUCCUGCCUAUCUUGCUUCCCUAUUGGCCAACAGUGUUUUAUUCAUUUACCAAUAAGAGAGACAUAUACAGAGAAGGACUUCCCUAUCAUGUGGUUUUCAAACUUUUGAAGAUUUUACCCUCUGUAAAAUUGAUAGCUGCCAACAACUUUUGUUUGAGUUAAAUCUACUAAUAUUUCCUAAUAUUAGGACCAGGGGAAGGGUGGAGGAGAGCGUGUGCAAAAGAUGGCGUGUGCAUGCACACGUACACACACACACACACACACACACACACACACACACACACACACACACAGCAUUGGUCAAAAUGAGCUGUUUAAGACCCUUUCUCAUGCUACUAUACAAAGUUGAAAAAAACCAAAAUGCAGUUUCUCACUUUGUUGUGUUCUUUUUUUUUUUUUUUAAUGGAUCAUCAAACAAACAAAGCAGUGAUUGGUUAUAAACAGCAAAAGGGAUGGUCUAGGAAAAAACUUGAAAGAUACUCUUAAAUAUCAAAGGCCAGCACCUCUAAGUUCUUAUUUGCACACACACACACACACACACACACACACACACACACACACACACACACACACACACUUCCUGUCAUAAAUACAUCUUCUAAUUAGGGAAUCUCUCAGAGAGUGUAUUUGAUUCAAACCUGCCAUUUCCUCUAAAACAUUCUAAGGACAAAUUCCAAGGAAUCUGAGAGGAAACUUGUGAAAUGAUCUCAGGAAUUGAGGCCAAAAAGUCCCAUACUACAAAAUGUACAAAUUAAAAAGAAGCAAAAAUGCCUUCCUAAAUCGCAUUAUCCCAUACCAUUACCAGAUGUGAAACACUUUAGUGAUAUCCAUUAAGUAUUUUAAGGGACCAAGACAUUCAGGGAAACUUGAAGUCUGUCAGUGUCUUUCCUCUUUCAGAGGGAUUCUAACCAUGUCCUUCACCCUGUGUCCUUCUGAAUAUUUACUCAGCCCUGACCAUCAUCUUGACUCUGAGUUGUUACAAGGAUUCAGUCAUCAUUUAUAUCUAGAGUGGCCUGUGCAGAGUGGUAGUGGGUGCCUAGGAGAACAAGGUGUCCAAAGACAUAGUGAGAAGUCUCAUUUUUAUCAUCUUAUCCUGGUCAUCAGUAGAACAAACCAAAACUAUGUCACUUAUAAGGUCUUCUGUCUGUUCCGUGGACACUCAGACAAAACACAGAAAAUGGCAGAGGCAAAAAUAUCUCAACUAUCAUUGGAACAAAGCUUUAGCAACCCAGAACCAUUUGUGACAGUUGGCAAUGUCUCUUCUGAGUCUGUUCUGUUGCAGUGCAGAGUGGAAGAUUGACCAGUAGUCCCUCCUGGAGCAAUAGCAUGUAUGGGAGGAGAGUGAUUUUGAGGGAAAGGCACAGACUUAUCACUGAGCUUCUUAAAGAAGAGGAGACAAUGCUUUACAUUUAUAAACAUGUUUUCCAUCACCUGAAUCUCAAGUGGGUUUCAAAAAUUCAUCUAAAAUGCAGCAUUUUUAUGAAAAACUCAUUUACAUAUAUAGGAUUCUUGGAAGAAAGAUCAGAUUUUUCACUACACUAAAAAAAACAAAACAAAACAAAAAACUAUCUCCGCUAGGACAAACACACACACACACACACACACAAUUGAGGUAUUAUAGUUGAGAUGUAGAAGAUUCAGAAAUAAACAAACCUUCACCUAUAGAAACAAUUUCUCUAGUUGGAAAGGAGUGUAAGAGAGAGAGAGGUAAAUCUGAAAAAUGAGUAGGGAGCCAAUACUUCCGUUAUGAGUUGAUUCUUAUUAACAGUAUGACUUCAAUUAAUUUAACCUCUUCAUUUCCUUUGCUGUAAUAAUUCUAUAUAGAUUUCAUGGAGGGAUGGAUGAUGUUUAAAAUAAUAUAAACCUGCAGUACUAAACCCUUAAUAGGCAAUUCUACAUUGUAGCUAAUUAUUUUUUACUAUUUAUUUUAUUAUUAUUCAUUUACUAUUAUUACUGAUAUGCUGGGGUUGCCAAGGGGACAGAAACUUUCUGACUUGAGAUUUUUGGCGACAGUGUUUGGAUUAAAAAAAAAUAAGAGAGAGUAUCUGGCUGUAGGCCCGUGUCCUGAGUGUUCUGACAUUGUUGUUCUUGGCUGUCCCUGGCUGCUGUCUGUCUUUACCUUGAACUGCACUAAGAUUAGAGUUUCUUGUAAAUGGUGACUUAAUUAUUCAUCAGAGUCUUUUCACAAUGCUGGGCUGCUUCCCCUUUGCACAGGGAGAGGCCUGAGCUGCUGUUUAGGACAGGAACUAAAGUAUUCCAUUUUUCCUGUCCAAGGCUCAGCCCUCUAUCUCUGAAGGAGAGUGCAGGCUGGCUCAUAAGUUUCAGGUCACCAGUGGCUUUGUUCUGAGAUACCUGUGUGGCCUGGAUGAGUGACUUGAGUGAAGAGACAUCGGGAAAAGAGGCUUUGAUGGCCACCAGAAAAAGCUGAAGCCAGCAAACCAAUGGAGGACAAUAGUGAAAAGGAAUACAUUCUGACUCAUUCAUUGAAGGAUCCUGCAGUCUUGGAAGACCUGAAAUCCUGGAGUCUCUGGCUUCCCGGCAGGCACCUGUUGCCAUUUCUCCACCAGGAACCCCUCUAGCCUCCUUCGGAAUCCCUGCAGAGGCCUCUUUCUCUGUCAGAUCCCCGCUGUCCUCCUGUGGAGAGUCCCCUGUGCAGCAGCUAUAUCCAAGAUCCCAGAGUCUCCUACAGAGCUAAGCCUCUGCUUUAGCCCCGCCUCCUUAUUUACCUUGACUUCCUGAUAAUAUCUCCUCCAGUAGUGUAUUUUGUCCUUGUGGCGCAGGUGGGGCUUAUUCUUGGUAGGAUUUCCAGCUCUACUUAGAGUGGGAGCAUGAAUGAAUGAAUGAAUGAAUGCAGCAUUGGAUGAGUCUCUAUCCCUUCUGCAGUCUCUGGAGGUGAUGUCUCCCCUGAGAGGACCAUUGACCAGCAUGAGUCAGAAUCCUGGUAACCUAUUGAUUUCCUCAGCUGGCUCCCUACCUAUUGAUGGCCGUGGGCUUGCUGUAGGAACCCUUUAGUACAGUUCCUAACCCUGCCACUUUAGCUGCAAAUUCUUUACUAUUAUUACAUGCUGAGAUUUUAGAGGGCAUUGGAAACACCUUUCUCAUUCAGGCCCCAUAACCUGUAGGAUGCUGGAGCCAGGUCAUUGGUCACCCUCAAACCAAGUGCUCUCCUUCUUGAAUGUCUUAAGGGGCCACUGUUAAAUCACAACACCCACAAAGCAGGCUAGUAGGAGCCAGAGUACAACACGGUGUCUUGGAGGGCAGGAGUCCCCUCUCCUUUGCCAUCCUGUAUCAUCAGAGAAGAUCCCAACUAGGCUGGGCUUUUACACAAACACUCCCUGCUCACAGCAGGUGACUCCAGGCUGUACUUGUCACCAGUCCCCGGUAGCCCUGUUCUUUUUCCUUUUUCAAAUGCAGUCACCACAAUAAAUUAAACUUUCAUGGCUCCAUUUCCUUCUUUCCUAUUGCGGAACCCUGACAUAUUUCCUGAAGGAAAUACUUUGGGGAUUAUAAUUGAAACACAAUCACUCAUAAUGGAAGCAGGGAGGCCGAGGGUAAUAGAGUUAGCUCUCCUUUCUCAGGGCAGACAUGUUAAUUACAUUUUCUAUUUCCGCUCAUUACCUCGGAGCAGGUCUCUGUGGGCUGCCCUGCUUCUUCUUCUCCUCCUUAGCUGAAGGCAUCUGGAGAGGGCAUAAGUACCCAUGAGCUCCUUGGUAAUGAUUCACCUCCAUCCAGCCAGGGUUCAUUUCUCUGUGCAGACCCAAGGGCCCAGCACUGAGCUCCCUGAGUCAUCUUCAGGGCUGGCCUGACCUCACAGCUUCCUGCUCUCACUCAGCCUCCUUGACUGCAGAUUCUCCUUUAGUUUGUUCAUUGACCUCUUAGUCUAACACAGUCUUCUCUCAGAAAAUGCAGGGGGACCAUGCCCACCGACUUCCCAUCCUCUUGUGUGAGCUGUGGAGCCCCACUGUUCUCUGCCCUCAGUGAUCCUCCCAACAGUCCUGCUUGCCUCCCUGGUUGUCGAUACUAAAACAGAACUCCUUUGAAGGCUUUGGGACAUCUUCAGAACUCAAAGGGAAGAACAGUAGAGCUUUGAACUGCUAAGGAGACAGCUCUUGGGUCUCAGCAUACUCAGGGAAGCUGCUUUACCACAGAGACACCUCCUACUAGGAAAGUGUCCUUCCUGGGUGUGUUCUGUGGAUGAGGUGACACUGGCUGUCUUUCUCAACUGUUCUCCACCUUACUUUUAAAAAAUUUAUUUUUUGUGCCUGAGGGUUUUGCCUGUAUGUACACAUAUGCACCGUGUGCAUGCCUGGUGUCCCCAGAGGUCAGAAGAGGACAUCCUAUUCCUUGGAACUGGAGUCACAGGUGUCUGUUAGCUACCAGGUAGCUGCAGGGAAACUGAGCGCCAGGUUCUCUUCAAGGAUAACAAGUGCUCUUAAGCAACCACGGUGCUUUCUGAAACAGGGUCUCACACUCCCCUGAAGCUCAUUGAUUCAGAUAGACUUGCUGGCAAGUGGGUUUCAGGGACCCACCUCCUUAGCCUCGCCAGCACUGAGAUUACAGAAGUGUGACUCUGAGCCUGACUUGUUCUGUUGGUUCUGGGGUCUAACUUCGGUUCCUCAUGUUAGCAGGACAAGCAUCUCCUCAGCUCCCGUUCUCCUUUACUCUCCACAGUCAUUCCACUCUGUUUUUCAGUUUCUCUUCUGCUCACUCAGGAAGGUGGGAGCCUGCUGAACUUCGUGCCCUGUGGCUAAUGCACCUGGUUUCAUCCCAUUGUGAUUGCUGGCUUUACCUAACCAGGUCCAAAGACUUGAGCUUCCAGCUCCUCAUUCUGAUGCUAACUUCCUAAAGACUCAACAAGAGCUGGUGUAACAAUUAACACUAAAGUACCUUCCUCACCGUGGGGAGAAUAAAAUCUCUCUUCCUUUCUCACUUGCUGCUUAGGCUGAGCCAUGAGUCAUCUCUAUUCCCACAGUGAGCUCGCCUUCGGUGUUUCUGGUUGGAGAGCAGAGUCUCCAUUCAGUGAAAUCUGAGCCUGCUGGGGCGGGAAGGAGCAGGAACCGUGGAUGCAAGUGGUUUUGCUAUUCUCUCCCUACACAAAAAAAAGCUUGGAAUCUAAAACAAGGGAACAGAAGGAGGGAGAAAUGACAUUCAGUGUCUCUGGCCUGUGUGCACUCCUGUGGGAACACUGAAAGGUUCAGGCAUUAUGCUGGCCUGCCUGUUACCUUGUGGAACAGGCAGUACCCUGGUCAGUCCAGGGUUCCAUGGGAACUAAAUCUGUACCCAGGUGCAGAGGACCCCUUUAAAAGACAGACCCUGCCCAUUUACGCUCUCUCUUUGCUCUCUCUCUCUCUACUCUUCUCUCUGCUUCUGCUCUUGUCUUCUUUCUGUCUCUUUAUGCUCUCUCUGUUUCUCUAUGGCGACUGGCCAUGGCUGUCAGCCAUUAACCAUGUUCCUCUUUCUUAGUCUUCCCUACUCUGCCAGGCCUAUAAUAAACUGAUUAAUUUGUCUACUAUGUCUCUUAGUCUCAUGUCUCAUCCGCCUCUCUUUUUCUUUAUCUCUAAUUUAAGCAAACAUUUAACAAACACCAGGGCACAGGCUCGCCUUCAUCAAGCAGUCUUGAGAAAAGUACAAAGGUUGGUCCUUGGCUCUAGGGACAACUACCGUUGGCAGAGUCUUCUCUGCAGUGUGCAGGUGAGAAAACAGGUCUGAGAAGAAACUGAGUAGUGAAAGCUAGAGAGUGUCAAACAGGCCUCUAAGAGAGAGUGCUUUCAUCUUCCAGACCCCUUCC
rnacentral:lncRNA from 1 species